rnacentral:rRNA from 1 species
CUACGGGUUGCUGCAGUGGGGAAUUUUGGGCAAUGGGCGAAAGCCUGACCCAGCAACGCCGCGUGGAGGAUGAAGGUUUUCGGAUCGUAAACUCCUGUCCCAUGAGACGAAGCAAGUGGCGGUAUCAUGGGAGGAAGCCCCGGCUAACUCCGUGCCAGCAGCCGCGGUAAUACGGGGGGGGCGAGCGAUGUUCGGAAUUACUGGGCGUAAAGGGCGCGUAGGCGGUUUCGGAAGUCAAGGGUGAAAGCCCCGAGCUCAACUCGGGAAUUGCCUUUGAAACCACGGAACUAGAGUGUUGGAGAGGAAAGCGGAAUUUCCAGUGUAGCGGUGAAAUGCGUAGAUAUUGGAAGGAACAUCUGAGGCGAAGGCGGCUUUCUGGACAGACACUGACGCUGAGGCGCGAAAGCCAGGGGAGCGAACGGGAUUAGAUACCCCAGUAGUC